UACGGAGGGUGCGAGCGUUGUCCGGAAUCACUGGGCGUAAAGGGCGCGUAGGCGGCAUGCCAAGCGUGUGGUGAAAGCCCGGGGCUCAACCCCGGGUCGGCCGUGCGGACUGGCGUGCUCGAGCACUGUAGGGGCGGGUGGAAUUCCGGGUGUAGGCGGUGGAAUGCGUAGAGGAUCCGGAAGAACACCGGUGGCGAAGGCGGCCCGACUGGGCCAGGAAGGCCUCG
rnacentral:rRNA from 1 species